CUGGGACGCGCUCGGUCAGACAUUCAAAGCAACAUCACAAGAAGCAACAAAGCUGAGCCUGGCAUUCUCAAGACCCCCACUGCCUUCUGCAGAAGAUUGUCAGAAGCUGAGUGAAGAUGUCCAAAAUGCUAUUUUUGCAGUUGCCACAGUGUACUACUCGCUCCCUAAAGGACAAGGUGAGACACAGCAGGGCAGUGCUAUUUUUUCAUCACUGUAUG